GACGAACGCUGGCGGCGUGCUUAACACAUGCAAGUCGAACGGAAAGGCCCUGCUUGCAGGGUACUCGAGUGGCGAACGGGUGAGUAACACGUGGGUGAUCUGCCCUGCACAUCGGGAUAAGCCUGGGAAACUGGGUCUAAUACCGGAUAGGAGCCAUCUUUAGGGUGAGGGUUGGAAAGUUUUUUCGGUGUAGGAUGAGCUCGCGGCCUAUCAGCUUGUUGGGGGGGUAAUGGCCUACCAAGGCGGCGACGGGUAGCCGGCCUGAGAGGGUGGACGGCCACAUUGGGACUGAGAUACGGCCCAGCCUCCUACGGGAGGCAGCAGUGGGGAUUAUUGCACAAUGGGCGCAAGCCUGAUGCAGCGACGCCGCGUGGGGGAUGCCGGCCUUCGGUUUUUAAACUCCUUUCGCUAGGGACGAAGCUUUUGUGACGGUACCUAGAUAAGAAGCACCGGCUAACUACGUG
rnacentral:rRNA from 1 species